GGCCCAGUGGCGGAUGGUCCGCGUCUGCAUAACUUACGGAAGAGAUACUUUUGUACGCAGAAGUAGCUCGUUCGACUCGAGCCUGGGCCA